rnacentral:rRNA from 1 species
UUUAGUCAGGCAACGAGCGAGACCCGUGCCCACUGUUACCAGCAUGUCCUCCGGGACGAUGGGUACUCUGUGGGGACCGCCGAUGUUAAAUCGGAGGAAGGUGCGGGCCACGGUAGGUCAGUAUGCCCCGAAUUUCCCGGGCUACACGCGGGCUACAAUGAAUGGGACAAUGGGUCCCUACCCUGAAAAGGGCUGGUAAUCUCCCAAACCCAUCCGUAGUUCGGAUCGAGGGCUGUAACUCGCCCUCGUGAAGCUGGAAUCCGUAGUAAUCGCGUUUCAAUAUAGCGCGGUGAAUACGUCCCUGCUCCUUGCACA